GGCCUUCCCACCAUACACCACAGAGCCAG
rnacentral:piRNA from 1 species